AUAAUAACUAUUAGUUGAAUG
rnacentral:miRNA from 1 species